rnacentral:rRNA from 1 species
AGCGAACGCUGGCGGCAGGCUUAACACAUGCAAGUCGAACGCAUCCUUCGGGGUGAGUGGCAGACGGGUGAGUAACGCGUGGGAACGUGCCCUUCAGUUCGGGAUAACCCAGGGAAACUUGGGUUAAUACCGGAUACGUGCGAGAGCAGAAAGAUUUAUCGCUGAAGGAUCGGCCCGCGUCUGAUUAGCUAGUUGGUGGGGUAAUGGCCCACCAAGGCGACGAUCAGUAGCUGGUCUGAGAGGAUGAUCAGCCACAUUGGGACUGAGACACGGCCCAAACUCCUACGGGAGGCAGCAGUGGGGAAUAUUGGACAAUGGGCGCAAGCCUGAUCCAGCCAUGCCGCGUGAGUGAUGAAGGCCUUAGGGUUGUAAAGCUCUUUCGUCCGGGACGAUAAUGACGGUACCGGAAGAAGAAGCCCCGGCUAACUUCGUGCCAGCAGCCGCGGUAA